UUUAAGUACAACCAUAAGUUUCCGUGCCCAACUUUAAGCAUCCGUCUUAUUUGAAAUUUUUUCUGUAAGUAGUAUUUUUAUUGUUAUGAGAUGAUAAAAUAUGAAUAGUACUUUAUAUGUGACUUAUACUUUUCAAAUUUUUCAAAAAAUUUUCAAAUAAAAUGGACGGUCAAAGUUAUGCAUGGAAAAUCAUGGCUGCACUUAAA
rfam:Oryza glumipatula chromosome 2, whole genome shotgun sequence.